CUUAGAGGGACUAUGACCGUUUAUGCCAAGGAAGUUUGAGGCAAUAACAGUUCUGUGAUGCCCUUAGAUGUUCUGGGCCGCACGCGCGCUACACUGAUAUAUUCAACGAGUUCACACCUUGGCGACAGGCUCGGGUAAUCUUUGAAAUUUCAUCGUGAUGGGGAUAGAUAAUUGCAAUUGUUGGUCUUCAACGAGGAAUUCCUAGUAAGCGCGAGUCAUCAGCUCGCAUUGACUACGUCCCUGCCCUUUGUACACACCGCCCGUCACUCCUACCGAUUGAAUGAUCCGGUGAAGUGUUCGGAUCGCAGCGACGUGGGUGGUUUGCUGUCUGUGACGUCACGAGAAGUCCACUAAACCUUAUCAUUUAUAGGAAGGAGAAUUCGUAACAAGGUUUCCGUAGGUGAACCUGCAGAAGGAUCAUUG
rnacentral:ncRNA from 1 species